GUUUACAAUAAAUGAACAAAUUGCAGAAAUAUUAUUAUUAUUAUUUUAUGUGUGUAUUGAUAUCAAAAUCUAUCGUAGGUGUUUUUCUCUACAAUAAAAACAUUGACCUUUCUACUAACUUAUUGUGUAGUGUUAUCAUUUAUCUAAACAAUCGAUGUUUUCGAUAUUAUGGUAUCUAAAAAAAAACUUUUUUAAUGAAUUAAUAAGAAUCAAAGGCAAAAUGAUAUAUUACCUGCUAGUGAAAGACUAGUGUCGCGUCGCAUCCGACAGCGCGGCGUCGCCUAUAACCAUCUUUUUUUGAAAGAAUAUAUGCAUAAGUUCCCAGACCACGAUGUGGAGAUGAUUAGCACGAAUUUUUAAACCAACGAUUCAUGUUAGUCGAUCUCUGCAUCGUGAUCUGGGAAUGUAUGUAUAUAUAUUCAUUAAAAAAUCUCGCUAUUGACGACGCCGCGCUGCCGGAUGCAACGCGACAUACAUUCCACUAGCAGGUAAUCUCUACCAUCUAGCCAAUUAAUGCAUACUUUAUGCCAACAGUUUUUGAAUUUUAAUCUUAAUACAGUAAUUUAGAUUAGUAAGUAAAAAUUUCGGUAUUUUAUUCUUGAAAUUUUAAGAAAUGAUCUCUAUAAUUAAAAUUACGCGGUACCUAAAAGAUGCAUUCACCAAAAAUGAUGACACGAACGUAAUGAAUCAUAAUAAUUGUUGAUCAGUUAGUUCAGUUUUAAUUUUUAAUUAUUUAAAUAAAUAACGAAAACAUUCUUUUGUUAUGAUUUUAAUAUUUUUUACGUAAACAAAAACGUUACACAAAUAAACAUCUACAAAAAUAUUGGAAUAGAAUUGCAGUGAUGUCAAAUUCAGGCAAAAACUGUAUAAGUGGAAAUUAUUUUUCGAUACGAAACGGAUGAUAAUUAAUAUACUUUUUUAAAGUAAAUGUCAUUUUAGUCUUUAAUAGAUGUUUCUUGUGCAUUUUGCGCUAAAUAUUUGCAUAAAGUUGGGCAAAAGGAGUCUUUUUUUGCAUUGUUUUACGCCGCUUUCCAACCAGAGAUUACUAAACUACGGCCAAGAAGAGCAAGUUUUUUGCAAUUUUGGUAUUAUGAGAAUCUUAAAUACUCGUGGGGAUAAAAAAAUCGAUAAAUUUUAUCAAAUAUCACGUUUAUGAACCAUCCUUUUACUGAAACGGUUAUGCAAGAAUAAAAUUAAGAACCUUUUAAAGAAAAUAUUUGUAACCAUUUAUCAAUUAAACCGUCUUGAACCGACAGUUCAAGACAAUUCGACUGACAAAUCCCGAUUUGAAAAUAGUUCAAAUAACUUAUUGUUAAAUUAUCAUUUUAAGGAAUAGCGUGCAUAUUUUAAAUAACUUUUCACACACCAUUAGACUCUCGAAGUAAUCUCUAUUAAAAUUACUAAUUGUAAAUCUGUAUCACUUGAUGAACAAACAUUCUAUGAAUUCUUUAUGUAUGAUUUUUUAUUUCUAUUUAAGAUUGCAAAUUAUGUCCAAUUUAAAUUGGGAAAUUAAAAUAAUUGAACGGGAC
rnacentral:lncRNA from 1 species